GACGAACGCUGGCGGCGUGCUUAACACAUGCAAGUCGAACGGAAAGGCCUGCUUUCCCUUGUGGAUUGCGGGUACUCGAGUGGCGAACGGGUGAGUAACACGUGAGUGAUCUGCCCCCAACUUGGGUAUAAGCCUGGGAAACUGGGUCUAAUUCCCGAUAGGACUGCAGGGUGGUGCCUGUGGUGGAAAACGAUUUUCUAGUGGUUGGGGAUGAGCUCGCGGCCUAUCAGCUUGUUGGUGGGGUAAUGGCCUACCAAGGCGGCGACGGGUAGCCGGCCUGGGAGGGUGGACGGCCACAGUGGGACUGAGAUACGGCCCAGGAUCCUACGGGAGGCAGCAGUGGGGAAUAUUGCACAAUGGGCGGAAGCCUGAGGCAGCGACGCCGCGUGGGGGAUGACGGCCUUCGGGUUGUAAACUCCUUUCGACCGCGAGGAAGCCACCUGGUUGGAAGGGUGGUGACGGUAGUGGUAGAAGAAGCACCGGCUAACUACGUG
rnacentral:rRNA from 1 species